rnacentral:rRNA from 1 species
UACGUAGGGUGCAAGCGUUGUCCGGAAUUAUUGGGCGUAAAGAGCUCGUAGGCGGUUCGUCGCGUCGGCUGUGAAAUCCCGAGGCUCAACCUCGGGUCUGCAGUCGAUACGGGCGGACUGGAGUUCGGCAGGGGAGACUGGAAUUCCUGGUGUAGCGGUGAAAUGCGCAGAUAUCAGGAGGAACACCGGUGGCGAAGGCGGGUCUCUGGGCCGAUACUGACGCUGAGGAGCGAAAGCGUGGGUAGCGAACAGG